rnacentral:lncRNA from 1 species
CCUGCCUUCUUCCCCCCACAUACAGCAUCAUCAUUCCUGGAGAACUUAGGAAUCCUCCUGUGCCAUCCUGGGAGGUGACCCUCCAAUCUCUGCAGAUCCUUCUAGGAGCUGGUCUGAGCAUCGAAUUGCUCUACAUCUAGUUUUACAUUUCAAGGGGAAAGAUUAUUGCAAUGGAGAGGCCUGAUGACUUUUUGAGACCAAUGUUGGGAAGACAUGAGUUUCACCUAUUCUCAAGCAACCUGGAGGUCCAUGGAUUGCAGCCAUCUGUGGGUGUUGUGGAGGCUGAGUCUGUGUCAUGCACCAUGAGGCUGGGUGCAGAAGGGAGUUGUUUUGCUGGAGAGGGAGGUUUUCUGACCUCUCAACGCCCACACCUCAACCCAUCAGAAGUCAUAACUCAAGAAAUGAUAACAGGCCCAUCUCAGAAAAGCUGAGGAAGUUCCCACUUCCAGCUUCUCCCACCUUCUCGCUUCCUACCACACUCUCUCCAAGGACUGGACAAGUCACUUUAAAAUUUCAAAGAUGCUGCCACCACAGACUGAAGACCUGCAGGCGCUCACCUCCCCUGCUCCUGGACCUAUCACCGGCCAAUGCUCUUCCCCAUCUUUGUUCCUUUGCUUAGGCUUGUCUUCCCUCCUCCUCACUCCUCUUGACAGGUUGACUCCUUACAGCCUUCCAGACUCAGCUCCAGUGUUGCCUCUCCCUAGGGACCACUCUCCACAAUGCAGGCUAGGUUAUACGCCUCUCUCAGUGUCCCCAUAAAGACUAUUGUUUUCCAGAACUGCAAUAUAUUAAAAUUACCCAUUUCUAUUU